UUGUAUAUGUUUUCCAAUGCAAUACUUUUUUGUGAACUUGAGUUUGAAUGUAUUUCAUACAGUAAAAAUGAUAUAUUGAAAAGGGAUCAUAUCAUUAGUAAUAUAUCAUUGCUAGAAAACCAUAGGCCACACAUCAGAGCAAAAACUGUUACAUGCAAUUUAUACGAUAUAUAAGUACAUACAUGCAUAUAUGUCAGGCAUCAAUGGGUCGCAAAUGGUGCAAAAAGAAAAUACUCCACAUAAUUGUGUUAUGACAUUGAGAUGACGCACGUAACAUGUCCUGCAAAUAAACUGAACAUGUAAACGACCAUUUGUCCAUCACCAAUUUGCGUUUCUGUUUGUUCCUGCUGCAAAACAUCUUCAGUAGAAACCCUCUAGUUCAAAAAUUAUUGUUUUAGAAAUCCACACACCAUGCCCACAAUGAUCAUUGAUGUAUCUUGAUGAGAGACAUGAAACACCAUGUAAUGUCCAAUAUGUAAAAAAGCUGGGACCAUGGGACGUCGUCAUCAGGUCGGUGCCUAAGACAUUUUGACUUGUUCUUUAUUUUGUGAGGUGAGUCUUGGGCCUAAACCAAUGAUUCGACAACUGAAGCAUCUACAAUGGAAUAUGUAAUCGUAAGCUUUUAGGACUCAAACAAACUAAAUCUACGGUACUUGCUUGAUCCCAACCACAGAAUUUAGAUAUUCAGGUUAUUAUUUUUAUAGGAUAAUAUGGGUGUUUGUAUGGUGCCUUCAAUUAGUAAAUAGAAAAACAAUUUUAUUAUUUGAAGAUUUUGCAUUUAAAAUAAUGACCCCAAGCAUCUUUCAAUGGCAAAAAGAAACAGUAAAUUAUGUUAGUCAUAUGAGACGUGAUAAUACUUAUAUAAUCUUUUAUAAUAUAUAAACCCUAAAUAUGGCCAUAAAACUAAAUUUGAGUUGCAGAAUUUCUUACCACAUCAUUAGGUCAGUAAAUAAUUAACUUUACCUGCCUUCACUUCCAAUAAUAUAUAAUCAAAUUCUGACAUUGAAGGAAUAAAAGAACAAUAUAUACAUACUGUUUGUCUUCCAACUUAUGUAUUGACAUGUCGAUGAGUUGACAUAUAAAUCUGGAAGGUGCAUCGCAUGGAAAUUAAUUUAUUUAUUCUAUAGUUUUCAUUUCUUAUUUAUUGGAAGGACGUGCACAAUUUUCCAUGUAUAUGUUCUGAUGGUCAAGUGCCCAACUACAAAAUAUAUUACCUAAAUGAUGGUCAAUGUCAAAAAAGCUCUUAUAUUAUUGAACAGACAGAGUAGUUCGGAACUCUUAUUUAGUUUCCGGCUUUAAAUGCUUUGGUCAAGCAAUCAACCACACAAUUAUCUUGGAAAGAAACUAACAAAGAGAAAGAUUUAAUGGAAAAUGUAACAAUCUUUAAGAAAAUACCUGUCCAAUGAACUCAUCAGUACAUAAAUACAUAGCCAUCAGGCAUGCAUGUAAUACACAACGUGUUUCACUAAUAAAGAAAAGAGUACAUCGAUUGGGGACAAAAAUACCUGAUGUGUGUACCAACCACAUUUGCAAAGAUGCCGUCGCUGGAUUAAACGAUGCUGACAUUGCCAUUGUUUUGUGGAGUUGUCUCAUGUUUCCGGUGGCUAGAUGUGCUCGCCGUUGUCUUGUAUGUCCCAGAAAAUAGGACUUAGCUCCUCCAUCUGUCGAUCUGCGCAGUGGUGCCAUUUCAAAUAUCCGCGUGGAAAAGCUGGAGAAGACCAUUAGAUGGAACGACAUUAGUAAAGAGAUAAUGAGAAGGUCGAGAGUUUUGGACAGAGAGAAAGAGAUGAAUAUCAAACGCAUGUGCACAUAGCUAAUCUGACUUCCCAAGCAAGUUGAUCAAUUCCAGUAAGAUGCGUUAGUAGCUAGGUACAUACGUAUAUGUAUAUACAGGUAACCAUGAUUGAAUUCUUCGUCCGCUAAACACAGCCACAUGAGAGACAUGAUUGAUCAAAAAUUCGCACCAGAUCGUCAUUGUACUGACAAUAGCAUCUGCCUGUGAACAACCCGUGAUGUUCGUCCGGCCAGAUUCAUACGUAGAAAGCUGGCUCAAUCUGGCAAAAAUAAUAAAAAAAAGGCUGACUCAAUCGCCAUAAUUAUACACGUACAAAACCUCCUAAUCAAGCAUGCACUUGACUAAUCUUACCGGCCAGAAACACAACGCAGGGUAAGCAUGCACGAUAUAUUUAUGUGGAUGUGCUACCCAUGGCACCAACGCACGACUCAUGCGUGCCCGGAUCAAUUUUUUAUAGAAGUCGGC
rnacentral:lncRNA from 1 species